UGGGGAAUAUUGGACAAUGGGGGGAACCCUGAUCCAGCCAUGCCGCGUGUGUGAAGAAGGCCUUAUGGUUGUAAAGCACUUUAAGCGAGGAGGAGGGUACUGGUAUUAAUACUACCAGCUACUGGACGUUACUCGCAGAAUAAGCACCGGCUAACUCUGUGCCAGCAGCCGCGGUAAUACAGAGGGUGCGAGCGUUAAUCGGAUUUAUUGGGCGUAAAGCGUGCGUAGGCGGCUAAUUGAGUCGGAUGUGAAAUCCCCGAGCUUAACUUGGGAAUUGCAUUCGAUACUGGUUAGCUAGAGUGUGGGAGAGGAUGGUAGAAUUCCAGGUGUAGCGGUGAAAUGCGUAGAGAUCUGGAGGAAUACCGAUGGCGAAGGCAGCCAUCUGGCCUAACACUGACGCUGAGGUACGAAAGCAUGGGGAGCAAACAGG
rnacentral:rRNA from 1 species